rnacentral:misc_RNA from 1 species
UGUUCGAGCGUCAUUACAACCCUCAAGCUCUGCUUGGUAUUGGGUGUCACAUCUUUGUGGUGUACCUUAAAAUCAGUGGCGGUGCAUCUGGCUUCUAGCGUAGUAAAUCUUCUCGCUAUGGAGUUUGGGUGCGUAUCUGCCAUCAACCAUUAUUUCUACAGGUUGACCUCGGAUCAGGUAGGGAUACCCGCUGAACUUAA